rnacentral:lncRNA from 1 species
CUUAAACUUUGAGCUGCAGAUACUGACUUUGGUCAACUCAAAUACUACUUAUCUCCAUCAGUAAGAAGAGCUACUAACUGGUGGACCACUAUGAAUAUAUAUGACAUUUUGCAGGCUGAAAAAUGUAAAUCUCCUGGCCUGUUAUUCCUAUGCGAAUCAACAGCAUUCUCAUUACUCUCUCAACAAAACACUUUGGCCCCAACAAGUGUGGAAAUGGCUUGCGCUGCUGCAAGUUCCCCGGAAGACCAAGACAGGCUUUUGAAAAUCCUGCAGCUACAGAGAUUCAAGACAUAUGCUCUGAAGUUGGACUUAAUGCAUUUCUUGAGAAAAAUAAAAUGUGCUCUAGAGAAUGAAAUUGUGAUGUUCAAUACAGAGGCAGAGUCCGGGUCCAGCUCAAGCAGGAAGAUGUCAGCCUCUAUCUGGGACAGUUCCCAUUGUGUAAGUCAGUAAUGUUAUAUGCAGCAGAAAUGAUACCUAAACUGAAAACAAGGACACAGAAAACAGGAGGUGGUGACCCAAAUCUUUAGCAAGGAGAGGGAAGAAAAAAAGGAAAAGGAAAGAAGAAGUGAUCUGUUAUGAGCAUCCAGUAUGUGAUCCUACUGUGAGGGACAUGAUGGAGGCUUCUUUGUAGCUGAGGGAAACAGCUUUUCGCUUGCAUCAAUCGUCUGAACUGUGAACAUUUGUGCCUCCCAUCUUCAUCAUCGGAGUUGACAAUGAAAUGAAUACAUCAGAAAUACAACACAUUAAAAUGUACAUCUAGAUUUUAUGCAAUAUAAAAGAAAA